rnacentral:rRNA from 1 species
GUGACCUCAAAUCAGGUAGGACUACCCGCUGAACUUAAGCAUAUCAAUAAGCGGAGGAAAAGAAACUAACAAGGAUUCCCCUAGUAACUGCGAGUGAAGCGGGAAAAGCUCAAAUUUAAAAUCUGGCGGUCUUUUGGCUGUCCGAGUUGUAAUCUAGAGAAGUGUUAUCCGCGCUGGACCGUGUACAAGUCUCCUGGAAUGGAGCAUCAUAGAGGGUGAGAAUCCCGUCUUUGACAUGGACUGCCAGGGCUCUGUGAUGCGCUCUCAAAGAGUCGAGUUGUUUGGGAAUGCAGCUCAAAAUGGGUGGUAAAUUCCAUCUAAAGCUAAAUAUUGGCGAGAGACCGAUAGCGAACAAGUACCGUGAGGGAAAGAUGAAAAGAACUUUGGAAAGAGAGUUAAACAGUACGUGAAAUUGCUGAAAGGGAAACGCUUGAAGUCAGUCGCGUCGUCCAGGGAUCAACCUUGCUUUUGCUUGGUGCACUUUCUGGUUCGAUGGGUCAGCAUCAAUUUUGACUGUUGGAAAAAGGUCAAGGGAAUGUGGCAUCUUUGGAUGUGUUUAUAGCCCUUGGUCACAUAC